AUGCCGUCCAUGGACUGCGCGAUCCACGUGGUGCUGCGGGUGGUCAUGCGGAGGAGCAUCUGCCGGCUGCACGAGGUCGUCGCCAUGGCCGUGGAGCUCGGCACGGCGCUGCUCGUGGCCGUGCGGUUCUCCGGCAUGGCCUUCCGCCGCACGCCAGCCCCGACUCAGGUGGUCUCCGGGUCGACUCACUAUUACUACUACGCCCCCGUGGCGGCCUCCAUGGUUGGCAUGUCCAGGCUCGACAGGCACUAG
rnacentral:rRNA from 1 species